rfam:Nitrospirae bacterium HCH-1 contig081, whole genome shotgun sequence.
UUGAGCCGUAUGAGUGGGAAACUCUCAUGUACGGUUCUUAAGGGGGAAAGGGUUCCUGACCUACCUGGC